GCAGGGAGUCGACUCUGAAUCGCUGAAACGAGUCAUUAUAUGGAUUGAAUCUCCUGCCUGUCUCUAUCCACGUCACACGAACGCAUCCACAUCACACAAGAUACAGCCUGCCCCGCGGGAGUAACGAAAACUAUGACCCGCCCACAGCUAGUUAGUGUGUGGGUAAACAUCAGCUCAGGCUGUGUUUUCAGUUUGUGUUGUUUUCACUACCAAAGGAGACGUUUUCAAGGAGGGAUAUACUAAACGUGUCUGGCUGUGAAGAAUCAGUGGUUAAAAUGAAUUUUUAACGGAGGGAUUUAGACGUUUGGCAAUGAAAGAUGGUUCAGUACCCACUUUAUUUGGAACAACAGGCGUCUCCUAACCACAACCUAGGAGCUGCGACGAUUGCUGACUCAUAAUGAGCUCCAGAUCAGAGCUAUUCAGACAUUGUGGGAACAACAUCUUCAGGAGGCUCUCAAAGACUGGGAAACGCAAUAUGCCACUAUAACACAGGAACGACGGAUGAUGCAGAUGCAUCCGUACAUAAUGAAUGUCAAUGAGGAUGCUCAGCUGUCUGGCGUGGUAAAGCUUUUUAUUCAGGAUGGUGAUUGGGAUAUAGGUCUGGCAGAUAACUCACCCAGAGCUCUCUCUAUUAGGGGUUAAGGCAUCCAGGAGAAACACGCUGUGUUCUCGAAUCACCAAAGGAAAGUAUCGAUUACACCCGUCUCUGGAUCUAAGGUCAUUGUGAAUGGGAUGUCUGAAUCUAAGAUCACAGAGCUGCAGCAUUUGGAUCGACUCGUCCUUGGUUCGAACAGCACUUACCUGUUUAUUGGCUUUCCUUCGGAGUGCUCGGGAGAGGACUGGAGCCGAUACGAUUAUGACUACUUUCAGUCUGAGCUAGCGGCGGCUGAUGGCAUCCACAUUCAGUCUCUGUGUGAUGACCAGGGUGUUUUCAAUUUAUAAAUCCCAUUAAAAGGUUUGAAGAAUGCAUUUCCUGUUAUAGUUGGAUUCAUCUAUUAAACAUUGACAAGCAAUCUUUUAUAGUUCUAUGAUAUUAACUAGGCAUCGGUUAAAGGCAGAGAUUUGAAACUGCUCAGUUGCACACAAGUUCAAGGUCAUUUGCGAUUUACAGAUUUCGCAUUUGAAAGAAAGGGGUAUGCGUGUUUCUGCGCGUAAGUUUGGUUUAUGAAUCACACAUACGCAUUUUUGAUAAAUGAUCGUAAGAUCAAAUGUAGGAUGGUUUCUACACAGCAUUUUAUAAAUGAGGCCCCAGGACCAGAUCUGGUCUUGGUCUAGACCUGAACUCAAUUACAACAAUUACAAAGCUGCAGUAGUUAUGCAAAUUUUUGACUAGCGACUAGGGCUGGGCGAGAUAUAGCGGGGAUUGUCAUGGGCAUCUCGUCAGUAAUGACGGUUCCUUGAUUAAUAGUAAACAGCCAUUAGCUGCUUUUAGAUGGAGCGGCAUUUACUACACAGAGCCGCAGUUCGCUGACAAUCGGGGCAGAUUUGCAUUAAUUAUCGAAGACGUAUCGCCUGCGAUAAUUAAAAAAAAUGGUGGUUAUCUCGUUUUGCAACGAAACUCUUCAAAUAUGUAUACAUCUGGAACCAAUGCACUCUUUAGAUACUUUUUGAAAGGGUAUCAAGAAGCUUUUGUCUCUUUACUGCUGGGUAUUUAUUUUUGCAUUAUGUUUUUGUUUUAACGUUAAGUCUUUUUUUCCGGUGGUGGAGUCGCAUUUGAAUCCGGAUCGUCGGAUUAAUUACAGUAGUAACAUUGGCUGUAGUCGGCUCGUUCUUGUCAUGCUCGCGGUUCGUCUUUUUCACAUUUUCGCGCUUCACGUACCAACGUAGCACGGCAACAAGGAAUGAUUGACGCUCAUAUUAGCCAAUCUGCGGUCUUCAUUAAACGCAAGAACUUAAUGGU